rnacentral:tmRNA from 1 species
GGGGUCGACUGGUAUUGACAGCAAGACUAAUGUUUUUAUUUGCAAGUCGAGCAAUGAGAAUAAACUCGUAAAUCUUAUUUUUAACCUUUAAAUGGCGAAAAUAACUACGCUCUAGCUGCAUAAUUGACUGAAUUACAGUAAGUCAAUGCGAAUCUCAACUAGGUUGAGAAGCUGGAUGUCUCUUAAAAACUUUGAUUGACAGUUUUUAUUUAUGAGAUACCAUAGAGUUAAUCUAGAGUUUUAUUGGCACUGGAUAAAACUUAAAGCUUAAGUGAUAAGGAAAAUAUUUUGGUUGUUAUCGACCAAGUGUUUUUUCGAAAAUUUAAUGAUAACUAAACUUGUAGAAGGUAAUUUUAUUGCUUGUAUGGACGAGGGUUCGAAUCCCUCCGACUCCACCA